rnacentral:lncRNA from 1 species
CAAUUUCAUUCGUACCCUCACAUAGGGGUGUCAGUGAGCCGAACACAAGUGAACUGGGAUCGGCUCGUGUUCGGCUUAUUUAGUAAACAAGUCUAACACAAACUAGCUAGUUAAAGUAUCGAGCCGAAAAAUUCAGCUCGUUAAUAAAUAAGCAGAACACGAGCCGGUUCACGAGCUGCUCAACGAAUAAUAAAUUAAAUGAAUUAGAUUGGAUAUAUAUAUAUAUAUAUAUAAAUUUAUAAAUUCCUAACUAUUAAACUUUAAUCUAAUGGUUGAAAAUUUACAUAUAAAUGAGUUUUACUUUAUUUUUUUUACUAAAAAUCAAAUAAUAUAUAUAUAUAUAUAAUUAUUUAUUUAUAUAUUUCACAAAUACCCUCUAAAUAUAAUAUUUCUUUCAUAAAUGCCUUUACCAUUACUUUUUUGCUAAAUUU